AUUGAACGCUGGCGGCAUGCUUUACACAUGCAAGUCGAACGGUAACAGGGAGCUUGCUCCGCUGACGAGUGGCGAACGGGUGAGUAAUGCGUCGGAACGUGCCGAGUAGUGGGGGAUAACGCAUCGAAAGGUGUGCUAAUACCGCAUACGUACUGAGGUAGAAAGUGGGGGACCUUCGGGCCUCACGCUAUUCGAGCGGCCGACGUCUGAUUAGCUAGUUGGUGAGGUAAAGGCUCACCAAGGCGACGAUCAGUAGCGGGUCUGAGAGGAUGAUCCGCCACACUGGGACUGAGACACGGCCCAGACUCCUACGGGAGGCAGCAGUGGGGAAUUUUGGACAAUGGGCGCAAGCCUGAUCCAGCCAUGCCGCGUGUCUGAAGAAGGCCUUCGGGUUGUAAAGGACUUUUGUCCGGGAGCAAAUGCCUGGUGUUAAUAGCACUGGGAGCUGAGAGUACCGGAAGAAUAAGCACCGGCUAACUACGUGCCAGCAGCCGCCGCCGUAA
rnacentral:rRNA from 1 species